rnacentral:lncRNA from 1 species
UAGGGAACCAUCAGGCCAGUGCAGGUGAACUGAAUAACUAAAACCACUCGAGCAAUUCAAAAGAAGUAAAUAACGGGGAAAAUGAAUAUGAUAAUAAAAUUAUUUUAUCACAGCAUGAGAAUUAACACUACGACUUAAAGGUGAAAAUUACCAGGUUCAAAUGCAAGAAAAAACUGAACAUAGGCUGCAAAAAUAAUCAGAAAUCAGCAGAGUAAUUAACAGUCCUCAAUCACAGUGAAGAGUUCACUUACUUGGCAUCUGACUUGAACAAUUUUUAUAACAAACUCAUUCUAAUUGGUACCUGUAGAAUUCCAUUCCUAGCAACUUUAGAUCCUGGUUCUUCUUAUAUGCACAUGAAGUAUUCGUCAGUAGUUCACUUGGAGAAAUAAAGCAAAUAUUGACCAACUUCAAAGAACUGAAGUUACUUGGAGUAUGUUCUCUGACCAUGGAGAAAUCACUCAAAAUUGAAAAGAGGAAAGACGACUGGGAAAUUCUGAAAUAUUUUAUAUAAAAGCAGAAGUGGGUUCUCUAGAGUCCACCUUUAAAAUUAAAAUGUUAAGGAAAAUGUCACGUCUUGCAGUGUGUAGCU